AACCAGACGUUUGUAUUUACAUCCACAUACGGUGUACCAAGGCUAUUCAGACCAACCGGUGCCAAUCGUUAUUAUUAUAUGUGUUUGAAUGACUUGUUAGCACUUGGUGGGGGUGCCAACUUUGCUUUGUGCUUGGAUGGAGAUCUAUUAAAUGGAACUAGUGGACCUUGUGAAACAUUUGGAAACAAGUGUUUGGCUCAUAACGAGGAAUUUGAACUAAAGAAUGUCGAGCUUUGGGGAUUCAAGCAUGCAUAUAGAAAUACCUUAAACUGAAAGCAAUUACUAAAAGAACGAUGGGAUUUUUAGCACAUAUGUAAGUAUUGUAUAGAAAGUACUUUGAAGGUGAUGGGCAAAUUGCUGGUAGGUUGUUAUGGAGGUUUCUGAAUAGUAAUGCUGAUGCUGU